GGAAUCUAGCACCACACCACUCGGCUCAAAACAAUAUCUGUGUAUCGCGAUUUCCGGGUUAUUUCCCUUCAUCAGCACAGAAUAAUUGUUUGGCUAGUGGUGGCGCUGCAAAAUUCCCGUUCGAAAUAUGUAGUUUUCAAAGUGACUACUAUUCACUGAUCUAUAAAUUAGAAAAUUACUAUUGAGUUGAAUGUCACAACGAAAAUAUUCA